AACACAGGGACUAACAUGCGGGUGGCGGGCCUGCGGGGACCGCGAGGUCCCUGCGGUAGGAACGCAGAGCAAGCGUGGGGGGGGGAGGAGUUAGGGAUGGGCGGUGGGCUCCAGCUCUAGAAUGACCUUGGAGCCCACCUUGCUAGGAGGAAAAGGCAAGCUCACAAUGCCUGUUGGGAUAGAUGCGACCCCAGCUUCUCCUGGACCAGCAGGAUCGCCCAGCAACAUCUGGGAGCUUGUUAGACCAGCCAAAUCCCCCCAUCCCACAUGUACUGAAUCACAGUCUGACAAGGUCUGCAGGUGAUCUGUAUCAUAUUACAUUUCGAGAAGCUCUGGUCUGCUCCGGUUUACUGUUGACAGAAUCAUAAUGGAUCGUCCCUGGGUCCUAACUUCUUGCUCGUGGCUUUGGGUUAGAAUGCUUACUAGCUUAUUUCUGAUACUUAAGAGUACAGUUAAGGAAACUGAGACACUGAUGUAAUGUCUGUGGAGUAUCAGGAAUAAAACAAGUAAUUAUUAUUGCUAACGAGGUCGGCUUCACUCAUAGCAAUAACAGUAUCAUUCCUUAAAAAUGCAUGUGGGUACUGGAGAAAACUCGGGGCUGACUGGAGAAAUAGCACCCCCUAGUGGUUCGGCCUUCUAUCGCCUGAGCUCUUGCUCAGUAAAGAGAGCCCAGCAAAUAAAUAGCAGGGGUGUCCUUGACUCACCCCAAAAUUACUCCUCCCUCCACUUCCAUCCGAUUGCCAAUUGGAAGUUGUUAUAAUUACAGAGCAGACAGAAAAUAAAUCUCUCCUUUAUGUGCUAUUCCUCAGAAAGCCCGGCCUGGUGGCAGGGUGAAUACAAAUGGGCAAAGAGGACCCAUUUGCAGGCAUGAAGAGGUGCUGGUUAAGAAAGUAGGCACCGGCAAAGCAAAGCCCCGGACCCAAGCUUGGCCAAGCAUCUCAUGCAGCCUACAGAACGGUGGUGCACUAUGAAGCCUACUUGGAAGACAAUUCAGAGCACAGAAAGUAGUUCUACUUCCCACUCUGGGUUGCUGGUCUCCUUUGUUGGUCUUGGAUGAUCAUAGAAAACCCUUAUGAGUAAAAGGUUUCUUUUCAUCCCACCAAGUAUUCUCUGAAAAGUGCCUGAUGCCUCUUCCUCUGUUGUCCUGCCGGAGCUGCCUGCUGCCAGGAGUGGCUGCUCCGCUGUCUGCUCUGUCCUUCCUCUCCUCCAGGGCCCAUCCUGAGUGCUCCAUCCUCCAUGUCACCGUUUCUGAUGCUCUCAAGAGAAGACAAAAGGCAGAAGCUAUAAGCUUGUCUACCUGUCCCUGGAGUGAUCCUGUUUGGAAAAGACUCAAUGAACCAGUCACACCACAGCAUAUAGACAUUCCUGCGCCAGGGAUUGA